rnacentral:rRNA from 1 species
AUUGAACGCUAGCGGGAUGCUUUACACAUGCAAGUCGAACGAGUGGCGGACGGGUGAGUAAUAUAUCGGAACGGGCCCAGUAGCGGGGGAUAACUACUCGAAAGAGUGGCUAAUACCGCAUUCUAUUGGAGAGGCCGAUAUCGGAUUAUCUAGUUGGUGGGGUAAAGGCUCACCAAGGCCACGGUCCGUAGCGGGUUUGAGAGGACGACCAGCCACACUGGGACUGAGACAGGGCCCAGACUCCUACGGGAGGCAGCAGUGGGGAAUUUUGGACAAUGGGGGAAACCCUGAUCCAGCCAUCCCGCGUGUAUGAGAAGGCCUUCGGGUUGUAAAGUACUUUCAGUCGGGAGGCGUUACCGACAGAAGAAGCACCGGCUAACUCCGUGCCAGCAGCCGCGGUAAUAC